AUCUGAUGAUGUGGGCAUUUAUGAAGUAGGUUCCUGAAAAGCUCCUAGGCCUUAAAGAAAAGUUCGCCAUCCAUCUAUGUGAAACUCGUGAUUUCGCUUUGCAGUU